CGAAGCUACGGUAAGGCCUGAUCCUGGAGAAGUGGUCCACGGUGUUCCCGAAACCGUUCGGCAAGACCUUGUCGUAGUCCUGCUCGAGGCUAUCCGGCGACGUGUUCUCAGGGGAGCUAGACCUUGAAGAGGCGGACGACCUCGAUGACCUAGGCGAUGCUGGAUAGUCGUCGAAGGUCGCCUGAUGCUCCCGUUGAUCGCCGGUGCCGUUGUACUUUCGACGUCUCUUCUUCGGCACCACGGAGUUGCAUUCGCUGCCGCUGCCAUCCAGCCUCUCGUCUUUCCAGAAAUCACCAACAAACACGAAACGAUCAACGAUUGGGAAGAAGAGAAAAAAGAAACAGAGAAAAAAUAUUCAUCCGGUACAAAGUUCAAUUUGCUACUUUUACCUAUUAACGCUGGAACUACUGACGAUGAUCAAAACACAAAGAUCAUAUCGAGGAGAUUUGAGUGCAGAGAAAUGAAUAGUAAAAUGUUUACAAUACAGUUUAAUCGCGUACUUUGUAAAAAUUGCCCAAAUCAUUGAAAACACAACAUUGCAAGUCUGCUUCAGAAUUAUAUUCUGAAAAAUUGCAAACUGAUCAGUUUGACCACAUUUUGGUAGUUCUAGCGUCUUGUAUAAGCUAUACAAGGAUUCGAACUUGCCACAUUCAAAAAAUAAAAACUACCAAAAAUCCAAGCGUCUCGAAACAGUCUGCGAAACAGAAGGGUACAACGGCACACAGUAUCGUACACAACACAUUCCAAGCUACUAAUUACGCUUUCACUCGGAACGUUAUUCACCCCACAUACGAAAGUCCGUACACGUAAUUGCGUCUACUUACGAACGAUCGUCAAGAGAGUCACGAAGCCAUGCGUAACGUAAAUCCGACGUCUCUCGCGAAUCUACAUUAUAUUUUAUUUCGCGUUCCUCCUCUAAGCCGCUACUUUGUAAAGCUUCGUUCAAAUCGAAUAAAUUACUCGGAACCGUGAUCGCCUCGUUUCGGCUAAUUUCAGUUUCAACUUGCGUUGCGCAAACAAAUUGAUUUCCAGGGCAGAAAAGCUACGGCGAUAAAAAUGCAAAUUCAGGGGGUUAGGAGGGAGGCCGAUCGAAUGGAUCACGACGUCGUGAAACGCGUCGUUUGCCGAUUAACUGAGCCGUUAUCGAAGGGACUCGUGUCGUCGAUCACGUGUCCGGCGACGGUCACGAAGCCGACAACCGGUAAGCGACCGUGUAAGCGUCGCUUCCGGUUGAACGAACCACGGCUUCCUGCCCUGUCCGCCGAUGGAACGAACGCGACGAUUGCCCACCUACUCCCGCCCGAAGACCCAGUUCCGUGACUUGACUUUAUAAAACCGGGCCGCGGACUACGGAAUUCUCAAACAGCCUCAAACAGCCGACCGAUAUCGAGUUUCUAGCGCGAUAACAUUGCCGAUAAUAUUGCAAUAAUAAUUUGAAUUGUAACUUUCGAACGUGUUGCAACAUGUAGCAAAAAUAGCUGUGAGCUUGGUUGUAACAAAUGCAAUAGGCGUUCCAAUAAUUUAUUUACGUGGGCAAAAAUAUAAGAAAAAGAAUUCAUUCGAGGCGUUUAUUAGUUACUGACAUUUAGGAGUUAUUUAGGAGUGAGAGCAAAUUAUGCCUGGUGUUGGACGAGCUUUUCUACAUGGGUGAAUGCUGGGUAGCCUAAGCAACGGGGAAUGCAGUGGUUCUCAAACGAUCGUUUAUUUCGUAUGUAAAAGGACAGUAAAAUCAACUCUAUGGAGUUUUCUAAAAAGGGGGUUACAAUACCGCAAAUUAGUUUGUUAGAUAUAGCGAAAUUUCGAGUCGAACGAAAUGCACGUAACGUCCAACAAAUUUACGUGUUAAAUUCUUGCACAUGCGGUUGAAUUCUUUCUUCUUUUUUUUGUUUCUUUUAAUUUAUUAUCAGGUCUAUGUUUGGCCUAUGUGCUGUAUAGUCUUACAUGCUGUAAGACUUCAAUAUAUGCAAAACAUCAAAUGGUAUACAUAAGAAAAGUGACUUGAUGUAACAAUAUAUAAAAAUACAUGGAAAAAUAAAUAAGA